GAGUUUGAUCCUGGCUCAGGAUGAACGCUUGCAAUAUACUUUACACAUGCUAGUUGAAUGUUUUAUAAAUAAACAUAGCGAACGGGUGAGUAAAACACAAGAAUCUGCCUUAAAGUUUGGAAUAAUCAUAUUUGUUAAAAGAAUGUUAUGCAGUGAUAAAACCAAAAAAAGUAUACGACUGCUUUAAGAUGAGCUUGUGCAGGAUUAGGUUGUUGGUGGGGUAAAAGCCCACCAAGCCGAUGAUCCUUUGCUGGUCUGGGAGGAUGGCCAGCCACACUGGGACUGAGACAAGGCCCAGGCUUUUUAGCCAGCAGUGAGGAAUCUUGGACAAUGAGCGAAAGCUUGAUCCAGUAAUAUUGCGUGAAUGAGGAAAGCAAAAAAGAUUUUUAAACUUAAAAAUUUAAAAAUCGGCUGUAAAAUUCUUUCGCUAAAGAAGAUAAUGACUUUAUUUAGAGAAGAAGCCCCGGCUAACUUCGUGCCAGCAGCCGCGGUAAUACGAAGGGGGCGAGCGUUAUCCGGAAUGAUUGGGCGUAAAAUGUUCGUAGGUGGUAAUUGUUGUUAUAAUUAAAAUACUAUGUUUGUUGCAUAGAACUGGUUAUAAUACUCUUUUACUUGAGUAUAGUAGAGGAUAACAUAAUUUCAUACAUAGGGGUAAAAUCCAAUAAUUUUAUGAAGGAAUGCCAGGGCGAAGGCGGUUAUCUGGGCUAUUUACUGACACUGAGGAACGAAAGCAUAGGGAGCAACAGGAUUAGAUACCCUGGUAGUCUAUGCUGUCAAAGAUGAAUGUUAAUGUUGGGAAACUUUUCUGGCAUAUAGCUAAACGCGUUAAACAUUCUGCCUGGGAAGUACGAUCGCAAGGUUGGAACUCAAAGGAAUUGACGGGGGUCUACACAAGUGGUGGAGCAUGUGGUUUAAUGCGAUAAUACGCGCAAAACCUUACCAGUUCUUGAAUAUUUUUGAUUAGUAUCUUUAUUUUUACUAUUAUUUAAAAUAAAAAUUUUUAUUUAUAAUACAAAUAUACAGGUGUUGCAUGGCUGUCGUCAGCUCGUGCCGUGAGGUGUUUGGUUCAGUCCUUUAACGAGCGCAACUCUUAUCUUAUAUUGGUAAUUUUUUCUAUAAACUGAAAAAAACAACUUUUAAGAAACUGCUAGUGAUAAACUAGAGGAAGGUGAGAAUGACGUCAAGCCCUUAUGGCCCUUAUGAACUGGGCUACACACGUGCUACAAUGAUAAUUACAAAAAGUUAUACAUUAAAGAAAUUUGAAGUCAAUCUCUAAAAAUUAUCGUGUUCGGAUUGUAGGCUGCAACUCGCCUACAUGAAGUUGGAAUCACAAGUAAUCGUAGAUCAGCACGCUACGGUGAAUUUGUACUUAGACCUUGUACACACCGCCCGUCACAUGCUGGAAAUGAUUUUUAUUUGAAAUUAACCUAAAAUAAAAAGAAUUUUUAAAAUUCUAAAACUGUUUUUAAAUAAAACUUUUAAUUUUUUUUAAUCAUUAUAAGAAUCGUAACUAGGAUGAAGUCGUAACAAGGUAGCCG
rnacentral:rRNA from 1 species